GACGUAGGGCGCGAGCGUUGUCCGGAUUUAUUGGGCGUAAAGAGCUCGUAGGCGGCUUGUCGCGUCGACCGUGAAAACUUGGGGCUCAACCCCAAGCCUGCGGUCGAUACGGGCAGGCUAGGGUUCGGUAGGGGAGACUGGAAUUCCUGGUGUAGCGGUGAAAUGCGCAGAUAUCAGGAGGAACACCGAUGGCGAAGGCAGGUCUCUGGGCCGAUACUGACGCUGAGGAGCGAAAGCGUGGGGAGCGAACAGG
rnacentral:rRNA from 1 species